rnacentral:rRNA from 1 species
CCUACGGGUGGCAGCAGUAGGGAAUUUUCGUCAAUGGGCGCAAGCCUGAACGAGCAAUGCCGCGUGAACGAGGAAGGUCUUCGGAUCGUAAAGUUCUGUUGAAGGGGAACAAGAGCGGAGAGAGGUAAUGCUUUCUGAUUGCUAUUACCCUUCGAGUCAGUCACGGCUAACUACGUGCCAGCAGCCGGGUAAUACGUGGGUGCCGAGGGUUAUCCGGAUUGGUUGGACGAAAGGGGUGCGUAGGCGGCCUGAAAAGUCUGGAGUGAACGGUACCGGCGACAGCGGUACAGGCCCUGGAUACUGGCGGGCUAGAAAGCAGAAGACGGGGGUGGAAUGUGAUGUGUAGCGGUAAAAUGCGUAGAUAUCUGGAAGAACACCAGUGGCGAAGGCGGCCGCCUGGCCUGUUACUGACGCUGAGGCACGAAAGCGUGGGUAGCAAAUAGGAUUAGAUACCCCUGUAGUC